rnacentral:rRNA from 1 species
GCCAAUAGCCAUGUCCCUCUGCAACUUACAAUUGGCAGCCCACUGAAGCUAAGCAGGUGUGAGCCUGGUCAGUACCUGGAUGGGAGACCUCCUGGGAAAAACUAAGGUUUCUGCUGGAA